rnacentral:rRNA from 1 species
UACACUCCUGCGGGAGGCAGCAGUGGGGAAUAUUGGACAAUGGGCGCAAGCCUGAUCCAGCCAUGCCGCGUGAGUGAUGAAGGCCCUAGGGUUGUAAAGCUCUUUCACCGGUGAAGAUAAUGACGGUAACCGGAGAAGAAGCCCCGGCUAACUUCGUGCCAGCAGCCGCGGUAAUACGAAGGGGGCUAGCGUUGUUCGGAUUUACUGGGCGUAAAGCGCACGUAGGCGGACUAUUAAGUCAGGGGUGAAAUCCCGGGGCUCAACCCCGGAACUGCCUUUGAUACUGGUAGUCUUGAGUUCGAGAGAGGUGAGUGGAAUUCCGAGUGUAGAGGUGAAAUUCGUAGAUAUUCGGAGGAACACCAGUGGCGAAGGCGGCUCACUGGCUCGAUACUGACGCUGAGGUGCGAAAGCGUGGGGAGCAAACAGGAUUAGAAACCCGGGUAGUGCC